rnacentral:rRNA from 1 species
UACGUAGGGUGCAAGCGUUAAUCGGAAUUACUGGGCGUAAAGCGUGCGCAGGCGGCCCGGUAAGUCCGCUCUGAAAAGUCCAGGGCUCAACCCUGGAAAGCGGGUGGAUACUGCCGGGCUAGAAUCCGGAAGAGGCGAGUGGAAUUCCUGGUGUAGCGGUGGAAUGCGCAGAUAUCAGGAGGAACACCAAUAGCGAAGGCAGCUCGCUGGGACGGUAUUGACGCUGAGGCGCGAAAGCGUGGGGGAGCAAACAGG